rnacentral:rRNA from 1 species
UACGAAGGGGGCUAGCGUUGCUCGGAUUGACUGGGCGUAAAGGGCGCGUAGGCGGCUCGGUAAGUCGGGUGUGAAACCCCCAGGCUCAACCUGGGGACGCCACCCGAUACUGCUGUGGCUAGAGUCCAGUAGGGGAGUGUGGAAUUCCCGGUGUAGCGGUGAAAUGCGCAGAUAUCGGGAGGAACACCAGCGGCGAAGGCGGCACUCUGGGCUGGAACUGACGCUGAGGAGCGAAAGCGUGGGUAGCAAACAGG